rnacentral:misc_RNA from 1 species
UACGAAGGGGGCUAGCGUUGUUCGGAAUUACUGGGCGUAAAGCGCGCGCAGGCGGUUUGCCAAGUCAGAGGUGAAAGCCCCGAGCUCAACUCGGGAACUGCCUUUGAAACUGGUAGACUAGGGUUCGGGAGAGGUGAGUGGAAUUCCGAGUGUAGAGGUGAAAUUCGUAGAUAUUCGGAAGAACACCAGUGGCGAAGGCGGCUCACUGGCCCGAUACCGACGCUCAGGCGCGAUAGCGUGGGGAGCAAACAGG